rnacentral:rRNA from 1 species
CCCUUAGAUGUUCUGGGCCGCACGCGCGCUACACUGAUGCAUUCAACGAGCCUAUCCUUGACCGACAGGUCCGGGUAAUCUUUGAAUCUGCAUCGUGACGGGGAUAGAUUAUUGCAAUUAUUAAUCUUCAACGAGGAAUGCCUAGUAGGCGCAAGUCAUCAGCUUGCGUCGAUUACGUCCCUGCCCUUUGUACACACCGCCCGUCGCUCCUACCGAUCGAAGAGUUAGGUGAAUUGUUUUGAUCGAUAAGAUUUGACUAUGGUCAACUCUCGUUGUGAAAUUCUGUGAAUCUGACUGUUAGAGGAAGGAGAAGUCGUAACA